rnacentral:lncRNA from 1 species
CAGGUACCCCCAGGUACCCCCAGGUGUGUCCCAGGUACCCCCAGGUGUCCCCAGGUGUGUCCCAGGUGUGUCCAGGUGUGUCUCAGGUACCCCCAGGUGUCCCCAGGUGUGUCCCAGGUACCCCCAGGUGUCCCCAGGUGUCCCCAGGUGUGUCCAGGUGUGUCCCAGGUGUCCCCAGGUGUGUCCCAGGUGUCCUCAGGUAUCCUCAGGUGUGUCCCAGGUGUGUCCAGGUGUGUCUCAGGUACCCUCAGGUGUCCCCAGGUGUGUCCCAGGUACCCCCAGGUGUGUCUAGGUGUGUCCAAGCGUCCCCAGGUGUGUCCCAGGUGUCCUCAGGUGUGUCCCAGGUGUGUCCAGGUGUGUCCAGGUGUGUCUCAGGUACCCCCAGGUGUCCCCAGGUGUGCCCCAGGUGUGUCCCAGGUGUCCCCAGGUGUGUCCCAGGUACCCCCAGGUCUGUCCAGGUGUGUCCCACAUGUACCCCAGGUACCCCCAGGUGUGUCCAGGUGUCCCCAGGUGUAUCUCAGGUGUCCCCAGGUGUGUCCAGGUGUGUCCCAGGUGUCCCCAGGUGUCCCCAGGUGUGUCCCAGGUGUGUCUCAGGUGUCCCCAGGUGUCCCCAGGUGACCCCAGGUGUAUCUCAGCUGUCCCCAGGUGUCCCCAGGUGACCCCAGGUGUAUCCCAGGUGUGCCCAGGUGUGUCCCCAGGUGCACUCACCUGUCCCAGCAGCUCCUGCAGUCUCCUCCUGAGCGCUCCGUUGUCCCUGCGCAGCCGCUCGUUCUCGGCCAGC